rnacentral:rRNA from 1 species
GACGAACGCUGGCGGCGUGCUUAACACAUGCAAGUCGAACGAAGUGGCGAACGGGUGAGUAACGCGUAAUCAACCUGCCCUUCCGAGGGGGACAACAGUUGGAAACGACUGCUAAUACCGCAUCCUGAAGGGGGUGAUUGCGUCGGAUUAGCUAGUUGGAGGGGUAACGGCCCACCAAGGGGAUGAUAAGUAGCCGGUCUGAGAGGAUGAACGGCAACAUUGGGACUGGGACACGGCCCAGACUCCUACGGGAGGCAGAAGUGGGGAAUCUUCCGCAAUGGACGAAAGUCUGACGGAGCAACGCCGCGUGAGUGAUGACGGCCUUCGGGUUGUAAAGCUCUGUUAAUCGGGACGCGGUACCGGAAUAGAAAGCCACGGCUAACUACGUGCCAGCAGCCGCGGUAAUAC